rnacentral:rRNA from 1 species
UACAGAGGUCUCAAGCGUUGUUCGGAUUCAUUGGGCGUAAAGGGUGCGUAGGUGGCGCCGUAAGUCGGGUGUGAAAUUUCGGAGCUUAACUCCGAAACUGCAUUCGAUACUGCGGUGCUUGAGGACUGGAGAGGAGACUGGAAUUCAUGGUGUAGCAGUGAAAUGCGUAGAUAUCUGGAGGAACACCGGUGGCGAAGGCGGCGUCCUGGACCAAUACUGACACUGAUGAGCGAAAGCCAGGGGAGCAAACGGG